rnacentral:lncRNA from 1 species
GCAGGGAGAGAUGAUCAAUCGUAUCGAAAAGAACAUUCUGAGCUCAGCAGACUAUGUGGAACGUGGGCAAGAACAUGUCAAGAUAGCGCUAGAGAAUCAGAAGAAGGCGAGGAAGAAAAAGGUCAUGAUUGCCAUCUGUGUUUCUGUCACUGUUCUCAUCUUGGCUGUCAUCAUUGGCAUCACCAUAACCGUUGGAUAAUGUCACAUGUUCUUGGUGAGAUAUGGCGGGCCUGCCCCAUCCCUGGCAACAGCCUUCCCACCUCCUGUCAGACCCAUUUCUUUCUCCUUCCCUUGCAGGCACUGGGAGAAACAGAGACCCAGCAUUUGUGGAGGCAGGGCAGGCCUCCAGCUGGACCCACCCUCACACUGGCCCUUGUGCAGAAGGGCAUAUGGCUCUUCUGGGUUGGCAGCUGCUCGUUCAUGGAGUCCUUCCCUUCAGGCCACAAUGCCUGGGAGAAAGUUUCCAAUGUCCUGUUUGUCUGGGACAUAUGGUUUUAUAAAAAAUUAAAAAAACAAAAAAACAAAAGACCAGAA